rnacentral:lncRNA from 1 species
GGAAUGUAAAAUCAUUUGCUACAAGUCUGUCGCUUCCCAUUCCCCUUCACAGACGUCCAGAAGACACGCGGCCGCCGCCGCUCUCGAUGUACGGCCGUCGUGGUCUCUCCGCCGCCGCCCCGGCCACGCACAAUCCUGACUUCCCCCGCCAAGAAUCGCCGGCGCCGAUGCCCCGAUGCGCUCGACGGCCGCCCAGUCGCCCUAGCCGCUAGACCGCCUUCACCAUCCUGCCUCUCGCUGCCGCUGCCCUCUGGACCGCAGCCCCAGGAGCUGUACCGCCACCCCGUCGUCACAGGAGCAGGACCGCUGCCCCGCCGUUUCCCCUCACAGAGGUGGUCCUGUGCCGUCUCCCCCCCCCCCCCC